rnacentral:rRNA from 1 species
GAUGAACGCUGGCGGCGUGCUUAACACGUGCAAGUCGAGCGAAGCGAUUUUAAGGAAGCCUUCGGGUGGAAUUAAGAUUGACUUAGCGGCGGACGGGUGAGUAACGCGUGGGUAACCUGCCUCAUACAGGGGGAUAACAGUUAGAAAUGACUGCUAAUACCGCAUAAGCGCACAGUGUUGCAUAGCACAGUGUGAAAAACUCCGGUGGUAUGAGAUGGACCCGCGCCUGAUUAGGUAGUUGGUGAGGUAACGGCCCACCAAGCCGACGAUCAGUAGCCGACCUGAGAGGGUGACCGGCCACAUUGGGACUGAGACACGGCCCAAACUCCUACGGGAGGCAGCAGUGGGGAAUAUUGGACAAUGGGGGAAACCCUGAUCCAGCGACGCCGCGUGACUGAAGAAGUAUUUCGGUAUGUAAAGGUCUAUCAGCAGGGAAGAAAAUGACGGUACCUGACUAAGAAGCCCCGGCUAACUACGUGCCAGCCGCCGCGGUAACAC